rnacentral:rRNA from 1 species
ACAUGCCUACAACAUAGUGUUAAUGCACUAGAUCCCAUUAGAACUCCACAAUUAAGCACACUCGGGCUAGAGUAUUACUAGGAUGAGUGACCACUUGGGAAUUCCUAGUAUUUUACAUGCC